rnacentral:rRNA from 1 species
AGCGAACGCUGGCGGCAGGCUUAACACAUGCAAGUCGAACGCAUCCUUCGGGGUGAGUGGCAGACGGGUGAGUAACACGUGGGAACGUGCCCUUUGGUUCGGAAUAACUCAGGGAAACUUGAGCUAAUACCGGAUACGCCCUUGGUCUUUGGUGACUUUGGGGAAAGGUUUACUGCCGAAGGAUCGGCCCGCGUCUGAUUAGCUAGUUGGUGGGGUAACGGCCUACCAAGGCGACGAUCAGUAGCUGGUCUGAGAGGAUGAUCAGCCACACUGGGACUGAGACACGGCCCAGACUCCUACGGGAGGCAGCAGUGGGGAAUAUUGGACGAUGGGCGAAAGCCUGAUCCAGCCAUGCCGCGUGAGUGAUGAAGGCCUAGGGUUGUAAAGCUCUUUUGUCCGGGACGAUAAUGACGGUACCGGAAGAAUAAGCCCCGGCUAACUUCGUGCCAGCCGCCGCCGUAAAAC